UACGUAGGGGGCUAGCGUUGUCCGGAAUCAUUGGGCGUAAAGCGCGCGUAGGCGGCCCGGUAAGUCCGUUGUGAAAGUCAAAGGCUCAACCUUUGAAAGCCGAUGGAUACUGCCGGGCUAGAGUCCGGAAGAGGCGAGUAGAAUUCCUGGUGUAGCGGUGGAAUGCGCAGAUAUCAGGAGGAAUACCCAUAGCGAAGGCAGCUCGCUGGGACGGUACUGACGCUGAGGCGCGAAAGCGUGGGGAGCGAACAGG
rnacentral:rRNA from 1 species